rnacentral:sRNA from 1 species
UGGUUUUAAAAUUAUUAUGAACAAUAUAAGGACUAUAAUGCAAAAUACACAUUUUAAAAACUUCAUAUUUGUAUUAUACUCUUGGAAGACAAACUACUCAUACUUUAUAUUUGAAGUUUGCAUACUCUAUAUAUGAAGUAUUUUUUGGAGUUUCUCUAAGUUUAUACCAAUAUAACAUAAAAAAAAUUUGUUGGAAACCAAUACACUUUUAGCUUAAAUUCAUAGUAUAUUUUUAGUUUGGAUAGGUGGGAGUGGAAAAUUCUCAGCUAUAAUCAAUAAAAACAUACAUUGGAAGAAGAUUUUGGAAGAGGAAAAAUAUAUAUUGCACAAGACUCAAAAUUUCUCUAAGCUUAAGGACAAGUGCAGAACUAUGGUGCAUAUGUGAUUAGUAAGUUCUUUCACUAUAAUAUCUCUACAAAUAUUUUGAAGUGGCAACAUAGUAGUGUGAAUAAAUUUUCAGCAACAAUCAAUAAAAACAUAUAUUGGAGGAAGAUUUUGGAGACUGGAGAAGAAUGUACAUUCCACAAGGGUGAUUCUUCUAAACUUAAGGACAAGUGAAGUAACAUGGUGUAUAUGUGAUUAGUAAGUCUUUUCACUAUAAUAUCUUUAGAAACCUUUUAAAGUGACAACACAUUAGUGUGAAGAAACUUUCAGCUACAAUCAAUAAACACAUAUGUUGGAGGCAAAAUUUAGAGAUGUGAAAAGGUAUAUUCCACCUUGUAAUUCCUCUUAGCUUAAGGACAAGUGGAGAACCAUGGUGCAUAAGUGAUUAAUAAGUUUUUUCACUAUAAUAUCUCUAGAAAUAUUUUGAAGUGGCAAAAUAGUAGUGUGAAUAAAUUUUUAGCUACAAUCAAUAAAAACAUACAUUAGAGGAAGAUUUUGAAGACUGGAGAAGGUACAUUCCACAUGAUUCCUAAUUAUUUUGAUGUGACAACACAUUACUGUGAAGAAACUUUCAGCUACAAUCAAUAAAAACAUACGUUGAAGGCAGAUUUUGGAGAUGGAAAAAGGUAUAUUUCAGAAGACUUAUAAUUCCUUUGAGUUUAAGGACAAGUGGAGAAACAUGGUGCAUAUGUGAUAAAUCACUAUAAUAUCUUUAGAAAUCUUUUGAAAUGGCAACACGGUAGUGUGAAGAAAAUAGGAGACUUUAAUGAUAGUCCUUCCUUGUAAUCGUAGUUUUGUAUUCUUGCAUGUAGAAUUUUCUUAUAACAAUACUUUCUUUUUAACAAGCUAUUAUUAGUUUAUUAAAUAAAUCUUUUUUAUGCAUGAAAAAACAAAUUUUGUGUUGUUACCAAAAUUGUUUUCUUAUUUAUGUGGACUCCAAGAGCUCAUCGAUAAGUUUGGAUGGUUAAUAAUCAUAAAUAUGACCAUUUUUUAUAAUGUCGUCAUUUUCAAGAUAUUAAUGAUAUCUUGAUUAUUAUUGAAGGUCCAUACACAAGUCGAGUAGAACAUUGACGAACAUGAAUUAAGAAAAUUUUUCUUUGGUCUUUUGUGGAGUAUGAAAUUUGUGAUACCUACAUCGUGUGAAGUUGAUUACAUGUCUUAUUCAAUAGCACAUGUUAGCAUGAAAAUAUAUAUGUUUUUACACAAUCAUGAAAGAUUGUUGUUUAACAAAUACUAAUAUAAAAUAUAGACAUAUGAUUUUGGUUUCUUCCAAUAUGGUUUUGCCGAGCUUAAGAUUAAUUACAUUUGUUGUCAGUAUUAUACUAACCAAUGUAUCGUGUCUAAAUUCAUAAGCGAACUUUAAAUUUGAUAAUCAAAUUAGUUACCGAUCUAAAUUUGCUAGGUUAUCCCUAUAAAUCUCAAGUAUUGAUAAUAG